rnacentral:rRNA from 1 species
UACGGAGGGUGCAAGCGUUAUCCGUAUUUACUGGGUUUAAAGGGUGCGUAGGCGGGUUGUUAAGUCAGUGGUGAAAGAUUCGAGCUCAACUCGGAAACUGCCAUUGAUACUGAUGACCUUGAAUACAGUUGAGGUAGGCGGAAUGUGUCAUGUAGCGGUGAAAUGCUUAGAUAUGACACAGAACACCGAUUGCGAAGGCAGCUUGCUAAACUGUUAUUGACGCUGAGGCACGAAAGCGUGGGGAUCAAACAGG